GUCACUGACGCGCGAGCGAGGAAGGUCGCGUGCCGGCCGGAAAGGGCUGGGCCCGGCCGUCCCCCCGCGGCGCGUGCGCGGGAGGGCCGCUUCCGGUCGGGCGGGCGUCGUGAGGGGUUGAUGGUGGCGGGUGCGGCCUGGGCGGGCCGCCGGGAAAGGGGCGGCUUCCCAGCGCCGUGCCUCUGGUGGGGGAGCGGAAGGCUUGGUCCUGGGGGCCGCAGCCGCGCUGUGGACGGUUGUCCUGAGCGUUGGGUGACGUCCCCUGGCGGGAUUGGUGUGCUUGCACCAGCCUUUGAAAGGUUUCCGAGCGCAGCUCAGCUGGCUGGUGAGGAGUGCCAGCCAGAACUGUCCGGGACUGUGGAAUUUGCUCAAGAAACAGUAGAAGACUGAAGGAAAAUGUGAAGCUGCCUCACCAGGAGGAGGAUUGUCAGUAGACGGAAAGCUGGGUUUAGCGGGUGCAGCGUUUAGGUUCUCCUCUGGUUGUUCCCUAAUUCUAGUGUACUUCAUUGCUGUGCUUUGCGUUAAAACAUUAAAAUUUUGUAGAUAGAGUAGUA